rnacentral:rRNA from 1 species
AAAUUGAAGAGUUUGAUCAUGGCUCAGAUUGAACGCUGGCGGCAGGCCUAACACAUGCAAGUCGAGCGGUAGCACAGAGAGCUUGCUCUCGGGUGACGAGCGGCGGACGGGUGAGUAAUGUCUGGGAAACUGCCUGAUGGAGGGGGAUAACUACUGGAAACGGUAGCUAAUACCGCAUAACGUCGCAAGACCAAAGUGGGGGACCUUCGGGCCUCAUGCCAUCAGAUGUGCCCAGAUGGGAUUAGCUAGUAGGUGGGGUAACGGCUCACCUAGGCGACGAUCCCUAGCUGGUCUGAGAGGAUGACCAGCCACACUGGAACUGAGACACGGUCCAGACUCCUACGGGAGGCAGCAGUGGGGAAUAUUGCACAAUGGGCGCAAGCCUGAUGCAGCCAUGCCGCGUGUGUGAAGAAGGCCUUCGGGUUGUAAAGCACUUUCAGCGGGGAGGAAGGCGUUAAGGUUAAUAACCUUGGCGAUUGACGUUACCCGCAGAAGAAGCACCGGCUAACUCCGUGCCAGCAGCCGCGGUAAUACGGAGGGUGCAAGCGUUAAUCGGAAUUACUGGGCGUAAAGCGCACGCAGGCGGUCUGUCAAGUCGGAUGUGAAAUCCCCGGGCUCAACCUGGGAACUGCAUUCGAAACUGGCAGGCUAGAGUCUUGUAGAGGGGGGUAGAAUUCCAGGUGUAGCGGUGAAAUGCGUAGAGAUCUGGAGGAAUACCGGUGGCGAAGGCGGCCCCCUGGACAAAGACUGACGCUCAGGUGCGAAAGCGUGGGGAGCAAACAGGAUUAGAUACCCUGGUAGUCCACGCCGUAAACGAUGUCGAUUUGGAGGUUGUGCCCUUGAGGCGUGGCUUCCGGAGCUAACGCGUUAAAUCGACCGCCUGGGGAGUACGGCCGCAAGGUUAAAACUCAAAUGAAUUGACGGGGGCCCGCACAAGCGGUGGAGCAUGUGGUUUAAUUCGAUGCAACGCGAAGAACCUUACCUGGUCUUGACAUCCACAGAACUUUCCAGAGAUGGAUUGGUGCCUUCGGGAACUGUGAGACAGGUGCUGCAUGGCUGUCGUCAGCUCGUGUUGUGAAAUGUUGGGUUAAGUCCCGCAACGAGCGCAACCCUUAUCCUUUGUUGCCAGCGGUUCGGCCGGGAACUCAAAGGAGACUGCCAGUGAUAAACUGGAGGAAGGUGGGGAUGACGUCAAGUCAUCAUGGCCCUUACGACCGUGGCUACACGUGCUACAAUGGCAUAUACAAAGAGAAGCGACCUCGCGAGAGCAAGCGGACCUCAUAAAGUAUGUCGUAGUCCGGAUUGAGUCUGCAACUCGACUCCAUGAAGUCGGAAUCGCUAGUAAUCGUAGAUCAGAAUGCUACGGUGAAUACGUUCCCGGGCCUUGUACACACCGCCCGUCACACCAUGGGAGUGGGUUGCAAAAGAAGUAGGUAGCUUAACCUUCGGGAGGGCGCUUACCACUUUGUGAUUCAUGACUGGGGUGAAGUCGUAACAAGGUAACCGUAGGGGAACCUGCGGUUGGAUCACCUCCUUACCUUAAAGAA